CUGUGCACAUGAUGAGUUGGUAGAGGACAGAGAGUGGAUUGCAGAAGGUGAAAAAUUAUUUUCAGCUUUCUCAAAAGUCAAUCUCCUAAGGGCUUUUCAUAAUACUUCCUUCACAAUCACUGCAGGUUCAAGGGCCCAUGUUGAGGUGAAAUCAAUUGUCACUAACCGUACUCUGCUUGCCGACAUUGGUAAAUUGUCACCUCAUGUGCAGACAUCAAGUGUUGAAAGCUACCACAAGGUGGUGUGCUUCUUUGCACCAAAGUUCUUGCACUUCUUCUACCACAGUAUGAAUGCCAGAUUGAUGCUUGCCAUUUCAAUGAGAAUUCCAACAGACAGCAGGCUAAGAACAAAGCUGGAAAAGAAAUGUGGCAGCUCUCAUUUCCAAAGGCAAAAAAAGGAGAACCAGUAGCCAAACAAGUUAAAGUCCCUUGUACUUAUGCAUACAUUGAUGAAUUGUUGGAUGAAGUAAUGGCUCGUCGGAGACCAUACCUUCUUAUGAAGUUGCAAGGCAAGAUUUAGAAGCCCAAAUUGCUC